CUGUGUUCUUAUACACUGGCUGUAUAGGAAGAGAAGGCAGAGCGAACCUUCCCCAUAUACACCGCAGCCCAGGCCCUCUACACUGUGCCUGGCCUGUAUUGUGAAUGGGGGGACAUGGGAAAAAAAGUCUCAUUUAGUCUUGUCCUUAAGAGUCACGAAGUUUCCUUCUGUUUUUACCCUGUGAUGUGGAUUUUGGAACACAGUUACAGAGAAUGAAGAAAUGCAGAUGCUAUUGUGGAUUGGAUAUAUGGACACCUGAAUUGGGUCUGCAGCCCUUGGUUUUGGCCUGGCCUCGUCUUGGAUACCGCUGAUGGAUAGG